rnacentral:rRNA from 2 species
UACGAAGGGGGCUAGCGUUGUUCGGAUUUACUGGGCGUAAAGCGCACGUAGGCGGAAAUUUAAGUCAGGGGUGAAAUCCCGAGGCUCAACCUCGGAACUGCCUUUGAUACUGGGUUUCUUGAGUCCGGAAGAGGUGAGUGGAACUGCGAGUGUAGAGGUGAAAUUCGUAGAUAUUCGCAAGAACACCAGUGGCGAAGGCGGCUCACUGGUCCGGAACUGACGCUGAGGUGCGAAAGCGUGGGGAGCAAACAGG